AUACGUAUGUGGCAAGCGUUAUCCGGAAUUAUUGGGCGUAAAGAGGGAGCAGGAGGCAGCAAGGGUCUGUGGUGAAAGCCUGAAGCUUAACUUCAGUAAGCCAUAGAAACCAGGCAGCUAGAGUGCAGGAGAGGAUCGUGGAAUUCCAUGUGUAGCGGUGAAAUGCGUAGAUAUAUGGAGGAACACCAUUGGCGAAGGCGACGAUCUGCACUACAACUUACGCUCAGUCUCGAAAGAGUGGGGAGUAAAGAUGUUGAGAUACCCUAGUGGUCCACGCCGUAAACGAUGAGUACUAAGUGUUGGAUGUCAAAGUUCAGUGCUGCAGUUAACGCAAUAAGUACUCCGCCUGAGUAGUACGUUCGCAAGAAUGAAACUCAAAUGAAUUGGCGGGG
rnacentral:rRNA from 1 species